rnacentral:rRNA from 1 species
AAUGGAUGCCUAGACGUAUAUUACCGAUGAAGGACGUGGAAGACUGCGAUAAGCUUCGGGAAGCUGUCAACAAGCUUUGAUCCGGAGAUCUCCGAAUGGGGAAACCCAGCAUGAGUCAUGUCAUGUUGCCACUUGCUGAACACAUAGGCAAGCGAGCGGGAACCAUCUGAACUGAAACAUCUUAGUAGGAUGAGGAAGAGAAAGUAAAUAACGAUUGCGAAAGUAGUGGCGAGCGAAAUCGCAACAGCCCAAACCUUUUAAGUUUUUGCCUAUUUAUUUAGGCAAAUAAGUUGAUAGACGAAUACUUAUAAGGGGUUGUGAUAUUACAUAUGACCAAGUCAGAGAAUUUGAUUCAUUCAAAUAAUCUGAUUUGCGAUAACUGGCUAUCAACAGUUAGUAAGGUAAGAAAUCGGCGUGGUUAGUAGAAUAGUUUGAAUGACUAGCCAAAGAACGUGAAAGCCGUGUAUAUGAAAACGACGCUGACCUUAUGUAUGUUUUAUCGAGUAGGACGGGGCACGAGAAACCCUGUUUGAAUCUGGCUGGACCACCAGCCAAGGCUAAAUAUAAUAUACGAUCGAUAGUGAACUAGUACAGUGAUGGAAAGGUGAAAAGAACCCCGGGAGGGGAGUGAAAUAGAUCCUGAAAUUUAGUGCCUACAAGGAGUCGGAGCCGGCUUGUCCGGUGACGGCGUGCUUUUUGUAGAACGAUCCAGCGAGUUAAUUUUUACAGCGAGGUUAAGUCAAUUGACGGAGCCACAGUGAAAGCGAGCCUGAAUAGGGCGAUUAAGUUGUAAGGAUUAGACCCGAAACCGGGUGACCUAACCAUGAGCAGGUUGAAGCCACUGUAACAGGUGGUGGAGGACCGAACCAGGAUACGCAGCAAAGUGUUUGGAUGACUUGUGGUUAGCGGUGAAAUGCCAAUCGAACUCGGAGAUAGCUGGUUCUCCUCGAAAUAGCUUUAGGGCUAGCGUCGUGUUAGUAGCACAUGGGGGUAGAGCUCUGUAAAGGACUGGGGCGGGCAACUGUACCCACCCUUAACAAACUACGAAUACCAUGUGUGUAAUCACGGCAGUUAGAACAUCGGUGCUAAGAUCGGUGCUCAAAAGGGAAACAGCCCAGACCAUCAUCUAAGGUCCCUAAAUUAACGUUCAGUGGGAAACAAGGUGAGAUUUCUUAAACAGCUAGGAUGUUGGCUUAGAAGCAGCCAUUCAUUUAAAGAGUGCGUAACAGCUCACUAGUCAAGAGAUCUUGCGUGGAAAAUGUAACGGGGCUAAAACGUUAUACCGAAGAUAUGGAUGUCAGAUUUAUCUGGCGUGGUAGAGGAGCGUUCCUAUCAGCGGUGAAGUCGAAUCGGAAGGUUCGGUGGAGCGGUAGGAAGUGAGAAUGCUGGAAUGAGUAACCAUAAGAGAGGUGAGAAUCCUCUCGGCCGUAAGAGCAAGGUUUCCUGAGCCAUGGUAAUCAUCUCAGGGUUAGUCGGGCCUAAGCCGAGGCGCAGAGCGUAGGCGAUGGACAUCAGGUUAAUAUUCCUGAACCGGUUAAGUUUUGUACACUGUUCACGGGGAAGUAAUCGAAGCGGAUUCAUGGUUUAUCCGUCCAACCGAGCGGGAACGCAAAGGGAGUGAAAGUGAUUCUUCGGAGUCGCGAUUUUGGUGAAAGCCCUGGCUAGAAAAGCAGGUGUACGCGUGGACUUAGCCGCCCGUACCGCAAACCAACACAGGUGCUCGAGUCGAGUAGACUCAGGCUUACGAGCGAACCUUCGCUAAGGAACUCGGCAAUACAGCGACCGUAACUUCGGGAUAAGGUCUGCCCCCACUUCGGUGGAUAUCAGCCGCGUUCACUCAGUGAAUAUUAGGUUAAAGAGUACAUUUUUAAUCACAAAACGAAUUUUCUGAGAUAGAGCAAACGAAUUGUUCUUUUGAACGCGAACCUCUGACGUCUAACGAUGUGGGGGCCGCAGCAAAAGAGCCCACGGAACUGUUUAUCAAAAACACAGGUCUCUGCUAACACGAAAGUGGAUGUAUAGGGGCUGACUCCUGCCCAAUGCUGGAAGGUUAAGGGGAGCGCUUCACGGUGCGAACUGAAGCCCUAGUCAAUGGCGGCGGUAACUAUAACCGUCCUAAGGUAGCGAAAUUCCUUGUCAGGUAAGUUCUGACCCGCACGAAUGGAGUAAUCAUGUGGGCACUGUCUCAGCGAAGGACUCGGUGAAAGUGCAUUGGCGGUAAAGAUGCCGUCUGUCCGUACCAGGACGAAAAGACCCCAUGGAGCUUUACUACAGCUUUACAUUGAAUAUGGUUUCAACAUGUGUAGCAUAGGUGGGAGACUUUGAAGCAGAUACGCCAGUAUUUGUGGAGUCACCAAGUGAAAUACCACCCUUGUUGUGAUUGUGUUCUCACGCUGACCGUUAUCCGGUUAGCGGACCGUGUAUGGUGGGUAGUUUAACUGGGGCGGUUGCCUCCUAAAGAGUAGCGGAGGCGUUCAAAGGUUGGCUAACUUCGGAUGGAAAUCGAAGUGAUAGUGUAUGCGCAUAAGCCAGCUUGACUGUGAGGAGUACAUUCCAAUCAGAGACGAAAGUCGGAGCAAGUGAUCCGCUGUACGUACAUUUGUACAUGAAUGUGGGAUCGACAGCGCAAACGGAUAAAAGUUACCCUGGGGAUAACAGGCUUAUAGCGCCCAAUAGUUCACAUAGACGGCGCUGUUUGGCACCUCGAUGUCGGCUCAUCACAUCCUGGAGGGGGAGCACCUUCCAAGGGUUCGGCUGUUCGCCGAUUAAAGUGGUACGCGAGCUGGGUUCAGAACGUCGUGAGACAGUUCGGUUUAUAUCCG